rnacentral:misc_RNA from 1 species
UACGAAGGGGGCUAGCGUUGCUCGGAAUUACUGGGCGUAAAGCGCACGUAGGCGGAUUGUUAAGUCGGGGGUGAAAUCCUGGAGCUCAACUCCAGAACUGCCUCCGAAACUGGCAAUCUUGAGUCCGGGAGAGGUGAGUGGAACUGCGAGUGUAGAGGUGAAAUUCGUAGAUAUUCGCAAGAACACCAGUGGCGAAGGCGGCUCACUGGCCCGGUACUGACGCUGAGGUGCGAAAGCUAGGGUAGCGAACAGG